UACGGGGGGGGUAAGCGUUGUUCGGAAUUACUGGGCGUAAAGGGCGCGUAGGCGGCCUGCUAAGUCGGACGUGAAAUCCCUCGGCUCAACCGGGGAACUGCGUCCGAUACUGGUGGGCUCGAAUCCGGGAGAGGGAUGUGGAAUUCCAGGUGUAGCGGUGAAAUGCGUAGAUAUCUGGAGGAACACCGGUGGCGAAGGCGGCAUCCUGGACCGAUAUUGACGCUGAUGCGCGAAAGCCAGGGGAGCAAACGGG
rnacentral:rRNA from 1 species